CGCGGUAAGCUGCGAAAAGCCACGGGGAACUGCAAGCAAGUAUUGAUCCGUGGAUAUCCGAAUGGGGAAACCCGGCCAUCGUCAUGGAUGGUCACCCGCAAGGGAGGGAACCUGGGGAACUGAAACAUCUAAGUACCCGGAGGAAGAGAAAUCAAACGAGAUGCCCACAGUAGCGGCGAGCGAAGAGGGCAGAGCCCAAACCGAGAAGCUCCGGCUUUUCGGGGUUGAGGACCGGCAGAAUCGAAGUCAGGCCUAGUUGAAUUACCUGGAAAGGUAAGCGAGAGAGGGUAAAAGCCCCGUAGACGAAAGGCAGAGCAGAGAGGCCGAGAUCCAGAGUACCACGAAGCACGAGGAAUUUUGUGGGAAGCAGGGGGGACCACCCUCCAAGGCUAAAAACUACUUGGCGACCGAUAGCGCAUAGUACCGUGAGGGAAAGGUGAAAAGAACCCCGGGAGGGGAGUGAAAUAGUACCUGAAACCGUAUGUCUACAAGCAGUCGAAGCGAAAGCGACGGCGUGCCUAUUGAAGAAUGAACCAACGAGUUAUCUGCACUAGCGAGGUUAAGUGGAAGACACGGAGCCGCAGCGAAAGCGAGUCUUAAGAGGGCGCUAGUUAGUGUAGGUAGACCCGAAACCGCAGUGAUCUACCCAUGUCCAGGUUGAAGCGCAGGUAAAAUUGCGUGGAGGACCGAACCGGUGAGCGUUGAAAAGCUUUCGGAUGAGAUGUGGGUAGGGGUGAAAUUCCAAUCGAACGCGGAGAUAGCUGGUUCUCCCCGAAAUAGCUUUAGGGCUAGCCUGAGGUAGUAAGUAUAGGCGGUAGAGCACUGAUCGGGCUAGGGGCCGUAAAGGUUACCGAACCCUGUCAAACUCCGAAUGGAUAUACUGUAGAGCCUUGGAGUCAGACUACGAGUGAUAAGAUCCGUGGUCAAAAGGGAAACAGCCCAGACCACCAGCUAAGGUCCCCAAUGUCGUACUAAGUGGAAAAGGAUGUGGGGUUUCAUAAACAACCAGGAUGUUGGCUCAGAAGCAGCCACCAUUUAAAGAGUGCGUAAUAGCUCACUGGUCGAGAGACCCUGCGCCGAAGAUUCCCGGGGCUAAAGUACGAAACCGAAGCUGUGGCUGUAUACGUAAAGUAUACGGGGUAGGGGAGCGUUCCCAUAGGGUAGAAGUCGAACUGGAAGGUUCGGUGGACUUGUGGGAAGUGAGAAUGUUGGUAUGAGUAGCGAAAAGAAAGGUGAGAAUCCUUUCCACCGAAAGCAUAAGGAUUCCUGAGCAACGAUCGUCGUCUCAGGGUAAGUCGGGACCUAAUCCGAGGCAGAGAGCGUAGGAGAUGGACAACUGGUUGAUAUUCCAGUACCGGUAGUAAUUGUUUGAGCAAUGGAGUGACACAGAAGGGCAGGCAAGCAUGCGAAUGGAAGAGCAUGUGUAAGCGUGUAGGGUGGUGCAUAGGCAAAUCCGUGCACUGAAAGCCUGAGGCGUGAUGCGGAGUGAGCAGAGAUGCGAGCGAAGUUGUUGACCCCACACUGUCGAGAAAAGCUUCUAGUGAGAGAGCUACCGCCCGUACCGUAAACCGACACAGGUAUGCGGGGAGAGAAUCCUAAGGUGCGCGGGAGAACCCUCGUUAAGGAACUCGGCAAAAUGUACCCGUAACUUCGGGAUAAGGGUAGCCACUGUUGUGAAGUCCCAUGCGGAUGGAGCAUAGAGUGGUCGCAGAGAAGAGGCCCAAGCGACUGUUUACCAUAAACACAGGUGCCUGCUAAAGCGAAAGCUGACGUAUAGGUGCUGACACCUGCCCAGUGCCGGAAGGUUAAGGAAGGAUGUUCGGAUUAGUCCAAAGCAUUCGACUGAAGCCCCGGUGAACGGCGGCCGUAACUAUAACGGUCCUAAGGUAGCGAAAUUCCUUGUCGGGUAAGUUCCGACCCGCACGAAAGGUGUAACGAUUUGGGCACUGUCUCAACGAGGGACCCGGUGAAAUUGAAAUACCUGUGAAGAUGCAGGUUACCCGCGACUGGACAGAAAGACCCCAUGGAGCUUUACUGUAACCUGACAUUGGGUUUUGAUACAUUACGUACAGGAUAGGUGGGAGGCUUGGAAAGUUGGACGCUAGUCUGACUGGAGCCGACGUUGGGAUACCACCCUUGAUGUAUUGAAAUUCUAACCGCGAGAGUAACGAAAUCCGGGACAGUGUCAGGCGGGCAGUUUGACUGGGGCGGUCGCCUCCGAAAGAGUAACG
rnacentral:rRNA from 1 species